ensembl:lncRNA
AAUCUCAUUCAUUCUGCAUAUAAGUGACAUGUUUUACAACAGGUUUUACAAAUGAUUAAACUAAACGGUUCAGAGUGACCAAGACAAACAUUAGCAUAAGUACUUUAUCACUUUUAGGCUCACCUGUGCCUUUUUUUGUGUUCAAAAUCUCUGCAACUUCAUUCUUAUACUUCACCCAAGGGUUCAUCUUCUAACACUUUGCAGGGGAUCCACACUCUAAUCCUAAAAAUAAAAUUGGCAAAACUUUCUCCACCUCUAUGAGCUAAAACAGCAGUACGCUAAUUAUGCAUUGAUGCAUAAUUAGCAUUAAGAGCCUAGUUAUGUGAUGCUGAAUAAUUUACAGAUGCUAUUUUAAUUCAGAAUAGCUACUCUAAAUUGUGAUUUCAAGUUACAAUCCCAAAGAUUGCCAUUUUUAUUGUAUUACUAAGGUCCAACCAGGGGUUCCCUCUAUGGCGUAGGUUGUGUGAAAUUUAUACUGAACAGAGGAUGUUUCCAGACAACUCGUCAAGGAUAAAGUAAAGAACAUUUUCACUGAUUAAACUUCUGUCCAUUCACUUUUGAAUUGAGGGCUUUGGAGAAUUUGAAAUAGUUGUUUUAGUAAUUGAAUGACUUUCCCACCACUUAACCUAGAAUAUUUGGUGUAUUAGGUUCUGCUUGCGGCGGACAAUUGGGGGGUUUACGUUUGAAUGAUUCAAGUAACGGACACAACGUGUCCUCAUUUCAAAUCACUGCAAAGACUCAACGUUGGCCCCUCUCCGAAAGAUUUAUUCAUCUACUUUUUAAGUCAAGCUUUCAAACUAAAUGUCAAAGGUCAGCGAUAGAGCGUCAAAGGGAAGCGUCACCUGUCACACACUCUGACCACACAGCGGCGCGCGGGAUGAGCUACAACCGCCGCAUGACAGGAAAACAUGGCCGGUGUGUAAAGGUUAACGUCUGGCUCAACAGCCUGUCAGACGCUCCAUCCGGGGCAAAGUGUGGGAAUCACAGUGGCCGUGAUGUACCGCUGCGCAGAAGACACGCAAGGACUUCGCUAUAAUGAACGCAGGUCGCCCUGUUGUGAUCCACGGUGCCGCGAUUUGAGAGCCAUUGACGUUAAAGCCUCUUUUUAAAUUCUUGGUCGGAGAUAUCAGAUCACACUCCCCUUCACUCUCACUGCUACUAACAUUGAUUCCCCUUCAUCAUACGUCUUCAGUGUAAAUUGUCCACUGCGGCUUUCCAAUUGAUUGAGCUCUGGAUGAUGAGGGACAUGUUAGCACGGUAACAGCGAAGCCAUUGAUCCGUGAAGUGAUAGAUAAAAAGCAUUUAUCAUUUUGGAGCACCCGUGAUAAUUAAUUGGUAUUGAUUGAAGCGCACCGCGAACGCCGAUACCGCGAAGGCAGCUGAGAGGCGGAGAGAGAAACGACGACUCAACAUUCAUGCUCUCAUGUGCAGAGUGUCCUCAGGAGUCUAAUACUCCUCUCCAUGGCUUUCACUAAGUAAAGGACAGAUAUGCAGAUAUCUUGGGUAAUUGAAGGCUAUUAUCAUAAUGCACUCUACCGUGUGUGUGAUUCAUACUCAGAUGGACAGAUUUUAGCUAAAAAUAUUUCCCAACCCUCGGCCUUGAUUGCAGAUUGAGAGUUACAGAACGGCGACCGCUGAUUAAAAUUAUACACCUGAAGAGGUAGAACGAGUGCUUGUCUUCUGUUUCCAUCCAGAAGUUCAUGCAAUUCAAACAUCAAAUUGUCAAGUUCAAUAUUUUAUGUUUCCGCUGGUGCCGUGAAGGACAGGACGUGAGAUCUACUUGUGCGUUGUUAAAAAAGAAAAAUGGGGGAUUCUGGUACAAACCAAAACUCUCUUGUGUGAUCAGUGGAGGCACAGUGCAAACAGGUGAGUCAUUUCAAUGAGGAGGAAAAAAAAACAGCCAUUAACUUCUUUAAAUUCAGAGAGAAUAAUGUAGCUCUGGGAGCAGGAAUUCUACCGCGAGGACGUCUCGCUGCCUUUUCGCUGUGGGAGAAAAACCCCUCGGCUGAGACACCACCACCAUAUUUUUUUUGGGCUUCAAACCAGCUCAUUUCUCUAACUAUUUUGUCGUACAGAGACAUUGUGAAUCAAAGAAACGGCACCCUUUCAUUUUACUACUAGGAUUUUCACUUGCUCUCCAGCACCCCAGAGCCUUCUCAGAUCAUUAAAUCAUUGCUUUGACUCUCUUGAGCUAAAGGUGGCUACACAGAGGGGACCUUGGCUCCGGGAUCUGCAGGAGGCCGGGCACACUUUCCAGUUGUAUUUAUUUCUCUGGGAAAUAUCAAGAAGCUUGAACCUUGCUCUCGUUGUCCCUCGUUGCGCUGCAAUUGCACCCUGCAAAGCACCCUGCAAUUACAAGCACCUAUUCAUCAGUGGACGGAAUGAAAAUGUCUUUGCAGAUGAUGGACUUGUGUAUUCUGGUGGAAAGCAUGAUUGUAUGUGACUGUGAGGAGUGUGCUGAUUCAUUUUCCAAUUAUAUUGUAAAAGGUCAAAGAAAAACAGUUGGAUUUAAAAAAAAUACUUAAAAAAAAAUUGAUCAACUUCUGCGAGUUAUUCAAAAGGAUCUGCCUGUUAGCUUCAGCUUAGCUUAGCACAAAGCUUGAAACAGCUAACCUGGCUUUGGACAGAACAACGUUGUUUCCCCAGAUUCCAAUCCAAAUACUUCAGGUAAGCCAGUUAUCCAACUUACGAGCACAAAAUACAACAUGCAUAGUAGAUAAUAUGUCAAAUGAUUUGUUUCGAGAAAAGCUCCUUUCUGUUUUGUUAGGAAUGCGACUGACUUAAUGGAUCUUCUAACCUCUUUGUUUGAAGGUCAAAAAUUCAAAUGGAGCCAUUUGCUCUGAUUGAAAAGGCACUCAAUUAAGGCCAACGAUACAAGAGGGAAUGAAAGCAGUUUCACAAUGUGACGUUCUCCAUUUUCAAGAACGGAUCUUUGAUUAAAAAAGGAGCGAAUUAAGACGUUCGAAUAGAUCCUGCAGCGCUGCAAUGAUGAAAAGAGCGAAAGAGCUGCUCGUGCAGUUUAGAUGAACACGCAGUUUACCGAAUUAAGGAUGGGUGGACGGCUGAAACAGACGCUAACAGACAAAAAUUGUGUAAAAUCCACUGUAUCGACGAGAGCUCAACGUAGACACAAAGGAACGAGGGAAGGAAAAUUAAAGAGGGAAAAGGAGAGAAGAAUGAAGAUGGGAAAAAAAUAACAAUGUUGAGAUUUCCCUGCAUGCAUUUCUCUAAUUUGCCAAAAUUCAUAAUCCCCUCUCUUCUUUCCCACACCCGAGAUCCUUUCCCAGCAUCCAUAAUUCCAAGCACUAAGCCAAUCCCCCUGUUCAUGUUAGAACUCCGUUGUUUCUUAUCGCACUGAAAGUGGUUGCUGCACAGAUAUGAUGUGCUUCUUUUACACACCAGCACAAACAACAGCUUCUUCUUUUUUUUCCCUGCUUUGUUUGUAGCUGCCUGCAGUGACCAAAAUACAUGAGCGACUAGCGUAACGCACCAGGCGGCUUAGCGGGCUCUUUUUUCCGCAGUUAAAUAUACAUUGUUACGCUCAUCUUGUGUUGUAUUUUUAAUGGCUCCAGACGCGCUCGUGUUGCAGAGUCUCUCCAGGCCAGAUCCUUUCUCUUCCCCUCUCCUGUACGUACCCUUAUCCCUCUUGCCUCUGGGCACUCGUAGGCCUGCCGAAAGAAAUCACCCCCGCAUCACUGGAGACAUGCAAACCCCUCCACCCCCCGCAACCCACCCUCUCACACGGCUGCUAAAAUAAACCACUCACCUUGCCUCUGCAUUGUGAGCCCGUCAGCCUCGCUUUCAGGUGAACGUGCGGCUUCCACUGAGCUAUUUUAAAUCAGUGCAAACGAAAUACAGGUGUAAGCUUGAUUUGAGCCUCGUGCUCCCCCCCCAAAAAACAUUAAACCUGAAAAGUGAUACGGUUUCACGCUAAUCGCUGCGGGGUCACAUUAUACACCCAGCGAUGGUUCCAUUUCUUCUUCACUACGUCGUACAGGUGGACCAGCACAGGCUGAUUUGUUGUGGCGAUUUCGCCCCCCCGUCGGUGUCCUGGGCAGAGCUCCUCCAUUACAUGGAGCUCCAUGCAGCUGUUCCAAAAUGGCUGCCGCGGCGCUGCCAUUUGUCUGGUGUCAGAGGACGGAGCAAGGGAAGGGAAAUAUGCGCCGCUGCGAAUGCAUACAGAUUAGGAUUAGAGCGCGAGGCUGCAACGUCGGGAUCUCGGUCAUUAACAGGCAAUUUUAAUCAGGGUCUGUCCCGCGGCUCCGCUGCUCGCCUCAGGAGCCCCGCAAUCCUCAGAGAGCAGGAGAAGCAGAGAUAGAGAGGAGAGGGAGAAAAGAGGGGGUGGGGGAGAUACAGGGAGGAGGAGAGGACGAGAGAAUAAAGGAAAGGAAAGGAAGACCCGUUGUAACAUCGGGAACAGGGUGGGGGAGGCAGCGUGCCGAGCGAGCAGCGCUGGAUGUGUUUUCGCAUCUACAUGCUGUGUCCUCUGAUAGGCAAGAUGGCUGCUGGACGUGCUGCGCUCCUGGUGGCGCUCUAUCUGCGUGCUAUUGAUUUUGCGCCCUACUGAUGUCCGUGUAUUAUUUAAAUGUUAAGAUGUCGGCGAUGGUAAUCGCCGGCUCCAUUAAAAGGAGUAACGGCUGCAGCGACAGACCCGCAGAGAGCCCAGGCAUGGCAAAAUGAAUUAUUAAGGAGAGGAUGAGACGGUGGGACGUUUCCACCGUCUCGCCCCGGCGAAUGUCAUCCCACUCAGCCAGAAGACAAGGCAGGCACGGGGCUGGCUUGACAAAAAUCGACAGUGACUUCCUCCUCCCCCCGCCCCGGAACCGGUUUGAUCCUGAUUGCAGACACUGCAGCUGGCAAUUUCCAGAAUAAUCUGCGGCUCCAGCCCUGCCUGCCCUGCCCCCCACGGAUCAGCCAGCUCUUCCCACCCCCACCGCGCCUCGUGCCCCGGCAUCCUCCAUGGCCCUCCAGCAGCAUCCGUAAUACGGACGGGAGGAGAGGCCUUUGAUUUGCUGAAUCAGAGGAUCCCAUCUCGCCACCACUGUGUGUGAACAUGUAGAUGAGAGAGCGAUCGAGAGAGAGAAAAAGUGAACAUGUGCAAUCUAAAUGGGUGCCUGUAAAGUCAAUUAAGCUACAAUUUUGUUCUCUGUUUUUCCCAUCAAUCUGAAUAAUAGAGCAGCUGAAUGGAAAAACACACAUAAUACACACACGUAGAUGAGAAUUAUCAAUAAACAUGGUUAAAAGAAUACAAUAAAUGUAAUUUUUCAUUAUCUGCACCCCUUUUUUGUGAUUAUGUUCUAAUGUUUGCAACUGAAAUUGAGGAUAAAAUGGAAACUGUCAACAACUUUAGUUUGUGUCGGUCCGGCAGUGUUUUCCUUUUAUUUACCACACCUCCUCAUCACAAUGCAUUAUAUUAAAGGCUGCACGGGAAAGAGGAUCGAUAGGAAGCGCUGGUAAAAAACUUGUUGCCUCAAUAGCUUUGUCACUCACUGCUGGUAAGUGGAAACUUAGCGGAGCUGUCCUCCCACAUAGGCUGCUUAAGACCAAAUAAUUGUCCUAUCAGAGGGCUUUGCCUCGCUCAGUGAAGUUUAUUAAGUACAUCACUUUGUCACAAAAGUCCAGCCAGAUCCAACUAAUCAACAGAUAUACACAAGCACAGUUGUUUGUGUUGGCUUUGUUUGCAGCGUGACAUCUUUACAAUUGCUUUACGAGGUUCCCCUUCAAUUAAGCAAUGGUCAAAAGGAGAAUGAUCAAUCAACACUGUUUUUAAAAAAAAAGCAAGAUGAGUGAAUGAGGAAAAUUAUAUAGAAAUUUGUCCAGAGAUAAUUAUUUAACAUUUGGCAUGUAAAUAAAAAUAGUGUGUCAUUGCAGUAACAUUUCCUGAGAAUAUAUAGUCAAACAAUUUAAAGCCAUAAUUAUAUGUUGGUUUUUGAAUGCAAAGGCAAAAUUCUCCCUCAAUAAUUCAGUCAUUUAUCAUCCAGCCAUUUAUUUUACAGUUAAUGUCAUUACUUGUUUCCAUACUACGUCCCCAGAAUUGAUACAAUACCUCAAUAUAAUAAUGUUGGGUGACUCGAUGGAGUCACCUUUCCCUCCUCCAUUUAAGAUACUGCGUCUCAGCACAGAGAGACAAAAUAAGAUGUAAAUUGUCCGAGGGUCUGAAAUUGGGGAGGGAUUAACCACCGGAGAGAAGAGCGUGCACCGUCUCCACUGAUGUGACCUGGAGCCGCUCUACCGACCACAACGUUUUCAGCUGAAUAUCCCCAAAACACAAUGAGGACAAGUCCACACUGUGACCACUGUGGCCUUUUAACAGUCCGUACUGGUGCCGCUAAUUUUUUAUUAAUGGAAAAUACAUUUUUAACAAUAAUUACCGCCUUGCGGCUUUAAGUUCCACCAAUGUAGAAGUUUACUUUCCAGUUUAUCACUUAAUUGUUGAUUCACUGUCAAGUUAACUGUUUUGCUUGCAUUAGUAAAAGACCCACAAAACAGAAAUGUAGACAUUUGACAUUUGAUCCAAGACACGUGAAGUCUGAAUGUUUUGGCCUGUGGUAGGGGGCCAAAUUGGCUACAGCUAACAUCCCGGUUCAUUUUAUUCUCUGCUCUAAUAGAUUGAGCGAUUGGAGUUGCCUCCAACUUACGUAACCUCUCUGGUGGAUUGGAGAGGCAGUGAAGCCAUGUGAGUGGAGGAAUUCAAUGAGCGAGGCGCCAUUUGGGUCGGAUGCAUCUCACAUGUUGUUGGAAUGUUGGAAUGUUUUCUAACUGGAGUUUCAUAGAGGCAUCUUGGAAAUAAUAAGAGAAGACAACAAAAUAAUUAAUCUUCACAAAACAAGAGCUUAUAGAGCAUAUUGUUGGAUUUGUAUCUGAGGGCUUUCCCAUCAGCUCAGAGUGCAACAUCGUCUGUCCCUUCCUGGGAUAACUUUGUUCACUUUAGCAUCAGAUAGGGAUGUAAAGUCCAAGAUGAACCUCCAUAUCAGACUGCACACAAGUUCAGCUGCAUCCACUGGUAAUAAUUUACAAGAUUAUUCUUGAGACCAGUUCUUCUUCUGGUCUCUCUGGUUUUUCUCAUAUUGCCAGAUGACAAAUUUCAGAUUUCAGUUCAUUUUUACUGCAUUGCAUUUCAAAGACAUGGAAAAAUCAAAGAAGGAAGGUCCAGUAUUUAAUAAAUUACAUUGUGCUUUGUUUGGGAGUUGUUUUUAUUCAUAUCAGGCAGAGAACCCGUCCAAGGUUCAAGCCCGGCUGUUUGAUGUUGGCGGCUUCUGUUUGCAGGUGACUGUGUGUGAGUUUCUGCCUGUGUGUGUGUGUGUGUGUGUGUGUGUGUGCGUGAGACAGAGAGGACAGACAGCUAGAGAAGGGGGAGUGUGUGUGUGUGUGUGUGUGUGUGCGUGCGCCCUGUGGCUGUCUCUGAUGUGACAGUAUGUGUGUAGACUCGCUAUGUAAUUUAGUCCUUGUAAAUUUAUAAUUUGGUUAGCCCAACUGCUCUCAGAGACUAUUGGAAUGCUGCCAACCUCAUGCUGAGUGUGUGUGUGUGUGUGUGUGUGUGCAUGUUUGUGCGUUCAUUGCUGUUUUUGCCGCUCGAAGCUCACUCCCAGCCCUCUCUUCCUUGUCCUCCUGGCUCCUCACAUCAAUACACCACCACCUUCACGCCCCAAGGUUGCAGCUAACCGCUCUCCUCUACCGGCAGCAUCACAGCAUCCUCGCUGGUCCUUCCUGCAACUCGGGCGCAUGCAGCCCCGCCAUCUGUAUCUAUGGGCUUUACAGUAAUGCAAUUGCGGCUCCUCAGAGUGUCUGCACGGGGGCCCGCGGGCGGUGCGGUAACCCAGAGGGAUGGAGAGCAGCUCGCAGCGCUCGGCUCAGGUAAUCAGCUGGAGUGCUGGCACGGGCAGAAUGACACCUGCUGCAGAGGGGAGUGUAGCCGGCGCUAAUUGCGGGAGAGUGAUGGGGGCCGAGACGCCGCAGACGGCAACGACAGUUCGGCCUAAUGCAAUUAGCCGCCAUGUUCUCCUCCAGCAAAAUUGCAUUACAAUUUUUACAUUUAAUUUAGCCCGCGCAAAAUGAAACGCUAUCAGAGAAGAGAGAUAAUGAAAGCAAUGGGAUAUUGAAAUCUGCAGUGUGUUGGGAGGCUAUUAAUGAGACAAUGAAACACCGGGGCUGACAACAUUGGUGUGCUGUGGUGAAACACUUCACUGGUGUCAUUAGGAGGAUCUGGCUUUUGGGUUGUUGCUGUGCGUCCUCUGCCUUAUUGCUUCAUUCAGUCAUAUUUCCAAUAUUGAUCUGGUAUUGAUCACCAGCUGGCUUUCCAUUUAUAUAUCUUAUUGAUCUUAAGCCCAUCGGUUGGCUGUUUAUGAGGGAUUUCUAUUGAUCUUCCUAAAUAGCCUUGCCUUCUCUUGUCUCACUGAGUGUAUACCUCCAAUCAACAAAUACCACUUAUACAAUAAAUGCUAUUGUUUCUAUAAUACAUAUUUAUCGGUUAUCUGUUUCUUUUCCUUAAUGAUCCUGCUCGUGUUUACACCACAACUAAUCUAACUAACUGCGUGGUCUUGGCCUUAUUAGAAGACACUUUUUCCGGGCUGCAUUCGUCUGGCUCAGCUAAAGUAAAAGCAGUAGGCAGAGAGAGAGAGACGAGCCGGCUGCAGUGUGACUUCGCUCCUCUUCCGUGCUUUGAUUCAUUAUUCAGCACCCGAGAAGUCGUCCUGCCACCCCAAAGCGGCAAAGAGAAGCACGCAGAUAGACACGCACCGGAGAGGGAUGAGCACACGCAGAAAAAUAGCAAAGAAAUAAGCGUGAUUCUUCACAAUCAAAAAUCUGAAAUUGCACAAGUGUCAAAGAAAAUACAUUUAUGCUUCUACGUUACAUAUAAAGCAUAAAAAGACACACUUUUAUAUUAAGACAUGAUCACACACACACACACACACACACACACUGCCCCCUUCUGACAGCGCUGCGGCCUGCAUGCGGAAUGGAAACGUCCCUCCUAAUGACUCCGUAAUGACAGCGACUUAUGUCCUUACCAUAGUUGAUUUGUUUCCUGGGUUUUAGGAGUAGAUUAUUUUCAUGGUACAGACUUAGCGUAAGCCGUUCAGAAACCACAAGCACUGCACUUCAGCCCUGGUUUGGGAUUUUAGCCAGGUCUAAUCAGAUUAAAGC